rnacentral:lncRNA from 1 species
UCCCCCAGAGCCGACAACAUGUAAUCAGUUUUCCUUAACAAGUGACCUCCUUUAACUUCGUUAGUUCAUAAUUGAUUUGCUAGCAUGUAACCAAGAUAAUUAACACUCCUGAUUAGAGGCAGCCAAGAGAAGGAAGCUCUUUUUUUCAUGGCCAAGGCAAAUAUUGACUAAAAUUCGAGCUGUUUCCUAAGUUUCCUUACAAUUUAAUUCAUGGAAGGUGGUGGUCAGUGAUUUGUGGUUUUUAGUUAAAAAAUUAAAAUGGAGGCAAGAUGAAUGGGUCUGGCUACAGAACACUUUAUGACUGACUCAUAUUUUGGAUACAUGUGCUAUUUUCCUUUUCCUCAAAUACAAAGAUAUGAAGCAAGAGAAUCAAGUGGCAACCGAAUAGAUUUAAUGGAGACUUUGAACACCUGGAGAGACUUCCACUUGUCAGGAGCGGGUAGGGAGAGGGGAGAAAGACGCACCGGACCUAAUAAGGAUCCUAAGCAUGAGCAUCAUCUUUUGAGUGGUCCUGUCUACUGUAGUUUACAAAGGUCUUUCACUUCCUUGUCUCAUUGGGUUCCCACACAGCUCUGUGAUGAGGACGGCAGGGAAGGACCGACUGACAGGGCGUUUCAGAUGAGAGGUGGGACCGAGUUGAGGAAGUGGAGCCAAAGCCAGGAACUGCGCCCCCUGCAGACUGCACCCUGCACCUGUCUGUCUUUCCUGAAGGCUGAUGCAAAUAUUGGGUGAUUUAGGGCUUUUUGUAUCUCUGCUUCCCGUGCAAGUAUUAUCAGUGAGGUAAGAAAGGGGCCCAGGCCACAGACUGUAAGGAGCCCUCACUCUCGGGCCCCUGCAUUUUGUGCCCUUCCCGCCCUGCUUGUUUCACGCCCUGCACCAGCGCUUGCUGACCUCUGUUUCAAGCUUACUCCCUGCCAGGCGCUGUGCCACUCAUUUUUAUGCAUCCUCAUUUAAUCCUCACAACCCCCACCGGUGACGUGAGUAUUAGUGGGUCUCCAUUUUUACCGACGAGGACGACAGGCCUUGGAGAGGGAGUAACUUGUCCAAAGUCGCGAGGCUGGAAAAGAAGAGGCUGGUUGGGGUCCUGGCCAUCUGGCUCCAGGGCUCUGCUUGUCCAGGUUUCCCAGGUAAAGAAACGCUUGGACCUGGACAUCCCCUACUCACGCGCAGUUUGCUCAGCCAGCCCUCAUGGGAGAGUCGUUGGAGAGGGGCUGGGGAAGGGAGAGAAGCCCAGUUCCGCGUGUGGCCUGGGAACAUGGGCGAGAUGUGUGUGAGUGAAGGUGGAGAGGGCAGCGGCCACAGGAAGGAAGCAAGGGAUCUCAUUGGGUCCCCUCAGGCGGGCAGGCCCUGCCGAUAAAAACUCGGCUGCUUUCACCACAGCCUCUUGCUGGCUCCCAACAUCAAACACAAAAUUCCCCCAGGGCAUUCUGCUCCUCUCCCAUCCUGGGAUGAAGCCUCUCCUGGGGGAUGGAGGAUGCAGUGGGCGUGCUCAGCGGGGCUGGGGUUUGGGGUUCCGGUGGUGGCCAGCUCUAAACUUUGGAAGCCGAUGGGAGGGCUGCUUUCUGGGAGUCCUUCUGGGAGUCCCCUCAUCCCUAGGCCAAGGAGCAUUUGUCUUUGGGGGAAGGAAAGCUGGGGGCAAGAGGUAGGCACUGCAGGGGUAGCAGAGAUCUCCGGGGCCCUGGGAGGCGCUUUGAGGGAGCCAGCCUAGAUUCCUGCCCGCAGGGAGGUCAGAACCAGAACAGCAGCUGAUCUGAUAGGCUGUGAUCUAUAAUUUAUACCCAGCUCCUUCUAGAAAGGACUGGCGGCUGCCUGCCAGGGGAUUUGUAGCUGUAAGUUUUGCUUUGAUGAAGCUAAGGGAUUUCAGGUUGUCCCUCUGGUUGGGUGUUCCUGAAUUAACACCAUCUGCGAAGCUCUUGCCCACAGGUUAACCUCUUUAUCCUCACGGCACUGCUGCAGAGCCCGAAUGAUUAUGUGACAGAUGGGGAAACUGAGGCUCAAAGGGUGAAGUGACUUGCCUAAGAUCCCACUCCUGGGGAAGAGACGAUUUAAGUCCAGGACUGUUCGUUUCGGGCAGCAUUCAAGAUUGUUGCCUGGGAAGCAGAUGGUGAUACCAUUUAAAACCUCUGAUUGAAAUCCCCUUGGUGCCUAUAGGCAUUGUAGGCAGGACCCAGCUCUACAAGUUAGCCAGCUGGUUCUAGACACCCACUGAACUCUGGCUUCUAUUUCCCUGUGAUGAUUUCCACGCAAAACAUGGGUCUUGGCUGGUCCUGAACGGACUGUCUUUUGUUGAGUAAGGAGGGAGGGGCUGGGAUCUGGCAAUCUGUAUACUUUGUACAUGCAGACCCAGCCAUGAGGCUAUCUAUUACCCUCCUCUCCAAUUAGAGGGUUCCAUUGUAGAUGACGAGGUCCUUAAGAAGGUGGCUCUGAAGUCGGACUGCCUGGUUCCAAUGUUGGCUCUGCCGUGGGGUGAUGGGUUAGUCCUCGGGCUGCCGUAACAAAAUCCCACAGGCUGAGUGGCUUAAACGCCAGAAGUUUAUUCUCUCACAGUUCUGAGGCUAGAAGUGCAAGGUCAAGGUGUGGGCAGGUCUGCUUUCUUCUGAGGCCUCUCUCCAUGGCUUGCAGAUGGCCACCUUCUCACCAUUUCCUCACAUGGGCUCUCCUCGGUGUGCAUCCCUGCUGUCUCUUCCUCUUCUUCUAAGCACAUCGGUCACGCUGAAUUAGGGCCCCAUCCUUACGACCUCAUUUAACUCUAGCUACCUCUUUAAAGGGCCUAUCUCCUAACACGCUCACAGUAGGGGUUACGGAUUCAACAGAUGAAUUCUGGAGGAAUGUAAUUUAGUCCAUGAGAGGUGAACAUAGGCAGGAGCCUCCCUAAGCCUCAGUUUCCUCCUCUGUUACAGGGGCAUAAAAAAAGUAAUCAUUCCAUAGGAUUGUUGAGGGAAUUAAGCGAGAUAACACACGUAGAACAAUGCCUGGCACUCAGCACGUGCUCAGUGUGCUGGGUACCAUCACCAUCAUCCCUGCAGUAUCUCCAUCAGUCUAGAGGGAACUACCAGGACCCAGGACACUGCUGGUUUCAAGCCUCAGGUCCUGCUUGUCAUUUAUGGUUCAAGGUUGAGUCACGGAGGAUCAGAGAGGCAAGGAUCUUGACCCUUGACACCAAAUGCUGAUUUUACAAAUGAGGAAACUGAGGCCAAGCUCAUCUAGGGUCAGAAUGCCAGUAACCUGUCCCCUGCCUGGUGUUCUCAAGGCUUUUUGAACCAUUUCAGUGACCAGUAGGGGCCAGGAGAAGCUCCCACUUUCUGUUGGGGCAGCCCACGAAGUAUCUGGACAAUUCAGUUCAUUUUUUCCCUUAAUGUUUUAGGGACUGUUUCUCUCAUGCGUAGUGCAGUGCCUGUCACAUAAUGAAUGAAUAAAGGCCAUUAAUUACCAAAUUCUUGGGGACAUGCCUCCCCAGCCCAGCCCCUCUCCAUAAAGCCAGUGUUUCAGCUCCUGGUGUGAUAACAUCAAACCCUUCCAAGGACAGCAGAGCGUUACCUUUCCUCGUCCCAUCCAUGCACCUGUGUCUCCCUGGGAAUUUGGAUGGAAGUACUAAUAAUCCACCAGGCUCCUGUCAGAAGGGCAUGAUGACUCACUUGUUUUGACAGUAUAAUAUCUCCAGUUAAAAAUAAUGCAGAAGCUGAAACCCCAAAAUCCCAACAAGGCCUGGCAGCUCAGCUGGUUUCCAACUGAACGUCCGCUCCCGCCAUCUUCCUUCCAGCAGAACCCCAAAUGUGCUCAGGUAUGGGUGCCGUGUCCUCGGUGGGGGUCCGCCUCCAGCUCAGCUCUCUCUCCUUUGCCAACGAUCGUUUUAGGGCUGGGCCUGUGACCCAGUUCUGGCCGCUGGAACUUGAGGAAAGUCUUCUGGGGACUUGAUUUAGAUGAGAAGCACCCUCCCCCAGCUUGGGGUCAUGGGAUGUUGGUGCUUGGGGAAGCGAUACCUGUAGCUGCCAUCUUACAAGCGGGAAGGCGAGGUCAACACAAUGGACUCUUGGAGGAUGUGACCUGCGCCCUGUGAACCCAGCCUGGAACCUCCAACCUCCAGACUCCUCAUUAGCCUCUAUUGUUUGAGCCGGGUUUGCUCAGGUGUUACUUGCAGCCAAAGCCGUCCCAGCUGAAGCUAGGCUGGUGGUGAAGCCCUUGGCCAGAUGCAGCUGAGGGAAAGCGUCUGUUCCUACUCAAGGAUGGAGGAGGUUUAAGGGCGCUGGAUACAGUUCUCAGUCUUGAUGUCUCACCAUGUGACUAGUGGUCAGAUGGUCCUCCUCCCGCACCUUGUGUGAUGGGCCAGUGGGCACUGCCCUGAGGAACGGGGUGAGGCGUUCGGACCCCAGCCUCACUUGCGUUCAUACCUCCUCAGCUUCAGAUCAGGGCGCUCUGCGUUCCCGUGGCUGUUCCUUCACCACCAUCUCCACAGCUCGUCCUAUUUCUGGAAUUAAAUUUCACUUGCAGAUCGAGUAAGCAGCUACUGAGGACCACACAUGCGCCGGGCUGUAUAUGCCCCACGCUGGACCCCUCCGCGUAGAGCGUCUGAUUUCCGAGUCUCCAAAGCGGGCAUGGCGAUCACUGCAUUGCGCAGAUGGGAAGGAACUGCUGGUGGGAGCAGGAUGGGGAAGGACCCUCUGUGGCUGGUGGAUUCUCAGAGGCUAUGCUGCGUUUUCCUUCCUCUUUGCCUCCAUCAUCCCUGGAUCCGAAUCUCCUGGAGAAAGCGCACAGGGAGAUGUGGGCUCCCACUCAGAAGGGGAACUGGGGAGCUCAGGGCUUCUCUCUGGCCCCCGGAUGAAUCCUGUGAGUCACCUGCUCCAGCACCCUGAGGGGAAGGGGCCUGAAAUGUCCC